AACGAGUCAUGAGCUAUUGCGCAUGACCCUUAAAGAACGGAAAUGGCGGACUCCGCAGACCUCAAGCACAUGAUAAUGAGCUUUCGGGUGUCCGAACUGCAAGUCCUUUUGGGCUUUGCAGGGAGGAACAAAAGCGGCCGCAAACAAGAACUACUUCAGAGAGCGCUACAGCUUGUACAAAAAGGCUGCACAAUGCCUGUGCAGAUAAAGAUUAGGGAACUUUACAGGCAAAUUUUUUCUUCCAACCUGCAUAGAAGAAGAUACCCUGGUGGUCCGGGCACAAGUCCCCCUCAAGUGAGACCACAAACAGAUGCCCCUCCCCCAUCUGGAGCCCUUGGGACAUGUUACGGCACUUACACCUCUGACCCUGCAGGUCCCAUAGACUUCAGUAACAAACACUUGUCAAGUAGUCACCCAGACCCCACACCUUCAGGUCUACCCGUCCACCCUGAUGUGCGAUUCAAGCACCUGCCUUUCUAUGACGUCCUUGCUGAACUGAUGAAGCCAACUAGUCUAGUUCCAAAGAACAAUGGCAGAUUCCAAGAGUCCUUCUUUGUCUUUCACCUGACACCUCAGCAAGCACAAGAUAUUGCCAUGUCAAGGGAUUUCCGGCCAGGGGCCAAGUGUGAAUAUACAGUCCAAGUACAGCUCAGGUUUUGUUUGCUAGAAACAAGUUGUGAACAAGAGGACAAUUUCCCUCCUAGUAUCUGUGUGCGGGUCAAUGGGAAAAUGGCACCAUUGCCUAAUCCUAUUCCCACAAGUAAACCAGGUAUAGAACCCAAACGACCGGGCAGGUCAGUCGACAUAACCUCCAUAUGUCGCUUAUCACCAACCGUAUCUAAUCAGUUGGAUGUAUCAUGGGCCUCCGAGUUUGGACGGGGCUACUGUCUGGCUAUAUACUUGGUGCGAAGACUGACAUCAGAUAUAUUGUUACAGAGGUUAAAACAGUUCGGAAAUCGACAUCCAGAUCAUACAAGAGCUCUCAUUAAAGAAAAAUUAGCGCAUGAUCCUGACAGUGAAAUAGCAACCACAAGUCUCCGAGUAUCUCUCAUCUGUCCCUUGGGCAAGAUGCGCAUGCAGAUUCCAUGUCGAGCGAGUACGUGCACUCACCUCCAGUGUUUUGAUGCCACCACGUUCCUCAUGAUGAAUGAGAAAAAGCCGACAUGGGUGUGCCCUGUGUGUGAUAAACCUGCUCCUUUUGACAAGCUAUUGAUAGAUGGGUAUUUCGUGGAGAUCUUCCGGAAGUCCCCCGAAGGAAGUGAGAUUCAGUUCCACGAGGAUGGCAGCUGGAGCCCCAUGAAGCACAGCAAGGAAACACAUGUGAUAUCUAGUCCCUCAGUGAAAGCCACAAGUUCCUCCUCGUCAGCUGCAUCAGCCUCAACCUCCACCUCAUCAGACAAAGGUUCAUCCAAAAAGAAAUCUGUCGAAAUUAUUGACCUUACGAUUGACAGUUCAGAUGAAGAAUCAUCACCCCCCGCAUCUGUGUCCAGCAGUCGACCAUCAGAACAAGGAACUCCCUCGACCUCCCCCUCACUCUCUAACACGAGCACCCCUAACAACCUGGGAUCUCCGUCACACAUAGGCUCCCCUCGGAUUCUGGAGUCACCGCGGGGUUUAUGCUCACCACCCCUCAGCUCACCUAAACUGGACACCUUGUGUCGACUGCGGUCACAAUCCCACUUGAGCUCAGCAUCGCUGUUCGAUUAUCAGUCUCGACUGCGGUCACCAAACAACAUUGCCUCACCACCAAAAGUGGAAUCUCGUCUGCAGUCACCAAUUAAUUUUGGCGCCACAGUCAAACAUGAAUCUCGUGAGAGUCUCUCACCUUGUAAAAGAGAGUCACCGACAAAAAUAUCAUCACCACCUGCCAAACAACGGUCACCAGUACCAAGACCAUUACCCACUCAUCUUCAGACAUCGAAAAUGUAUCCCCCGUUUGGCUACGUCCAUCCCAUGAUGACGUCACCCCUGAGCAUGAUGGCGGCUGUGCCAAUGUCGUCAUGUCUGACAUUGCCCCGACCGGCUCCAUUAUCCCUAGCAUCAAGUCUCAACAGGAAUGGGGUCUCAAACUUUCAUCCCUUCGCAAAUGUGCCUUCAUUUGUUCACUAUCGGCAGUCAAAGAACUGAGAAACCAAAAGAAAAAACUGCUGUUUGGCAAAAGAACCUAAUUUUGGAAGUGUCCAAAUGAUGACCUGUUGCCGAUCCUAGCGUCAGAUGAUGAGGUAGGCAUUCCUGAUUUUCUCUCUCAGUCAACGUCAAUGCUCAACUUCCGGCCACCAUCUUCCACAAGCUCCUCACAGCAUACUUUUAACCUGUAUAGUGAUGUGAUAUCAUUAGACUGACAUGCAAAAGUCAUGGGGAGAGUUUCAGCAGAUGAAGUGCAAAUGAUGAGUGACUGAAAUCCAUAU